AAGUCGUAACAAGGUUUCCGUAGGUGAACCUGCGGAAGGAUCAUUAACGAGUUUUGAAAUGGGUUGUAGCUGGCCUUCACAGGCAUGUGCACACCCUGCUCAUCCACUCACUAUACCCCUGUGCACUUAUUGUAGGCUUGGUGGGAUAAUUGACUGCUUGCAGUCAGUUUGAAAGCCUUGCUUAUGUUUUACAUACAAACGCUUCAGUUUAAGAAUGUUAUUAUUAUUGUGUAUUAACACAUGAAAUACAACUUUCAGCAACGGAUCUCUUGGCUCUC
rnacentral:misc_RNA from 1 species